CGAAAAGCCCAAGGCUCCUCGAUAACCCCUUUUCGAUUGGAGUUGGAUUCGAUGGGGUAAAAGAUCCAAGCUGUCUCAACGAGCUUGGGCGGAGGCGAAGGGUUUGACAACAGAGGAUGGUGUUCGUCAUCACCGAUCUGAUGACCGAUAUCUUGGUCAAGUACAAGGGCUCCUUGCCGGAUUUUUUCCAGGAGUGGCACUCCGUGGUGGUGGAGGGGUUUGUGAAGCCUUCUACCGACGAAGUUCGCAAGAAAGUGUAAACGAAAAGCGGCUCCAGGAAGGGCAGAUUAGGUUCAGGGGAGUGUGUUUGUGAAGAAACGAGUGCUGAUGGCAUUGGAUGAAUAUAAUCAAGAUCAGAAUAGGGGCAGGAAUUCGGGCGGGGCAACGGAGGCGGAGAAUGACUACCACCCAGCACAGGAGGACAAGACGGAGGCGUUAGGAUUGUUGAGGAUGGAUGCCAGGCUCUGGGUAACAGACUGAAGAACUGUGGUGCUAGAGAAACAGAGACUAAGAAAAUUAGAGAGGAAGAAGAAAAGAGUUUGAAGCUGGUGGAGUAUCAGAUUAUUUUUGUUGGGCACUAUCAGAUUAUUCUGAUUGAUUUGAUUCUGCGAAGAAGAAGGUUUUAUAUCCAUUUGCUAUAUAAUUCGAUUGACUUGCAAGCUCUCUCGCCUUUCAAGUACUGAAAUUGCUGAGUUUUGCUUACUGUUAA